ensembl:lncRNA
UGGGCCCUCUCUGCUGUGACAUUCCAUACUUUCCCUUGUGUGUGUACAGGUUGUCUGUACAACCUACACAGCACUCAUCCAGGGUGCUUACCAGCUCGUGCAGGCAGUAUUUUCUAUGCCUGCUGCUAUGCAGGACACUUUGAACCAGCUCAAUAAAAACACAUUUAUGCCGAUGCUGGCUGCUUUUGUCAGAGCAGAAACAGUCCGGCCCCAUCUCACAGCCCUCCUGCUGCUUUGCUUGUGCUAGAGUUGGUUCGAGUGCCUUUGCUGUGCCCUGCCAGCAAGCACACACUGCUGCUGCUCUCGCGCUCUCCUGCUUUCCUUCCCCCACCCAUCUUAGGAAAUAAUUAGCAAAGAAGAAAUAAUAAAGCAAUAGAGUGCACUGCUGAGGCUUCCGACAGCUGCUGGCAGCCGUGCUAGCAUGCUCCUGGAGCUGCCGCUUCCCAAGAGAGCCACGUCAGCCUCCUUUCCCGGGUGCCCCCACCCUCCCCGCACCGGGGCAGAGGGCAGAUAGAGAGGAAGGCGUCCAGGUGGCACCAGCCUCCUGCAGCACGUGGGCAUUGCAGGAAAAGGGAAUGCCGCCUUUCCCUCAGGGCAGGACAGGCAGUGUCCCACUGUGCAAAGCUCUGCCACAGUGAAUAUGUGGGCUAUGGGUUCAGGAUGUAAACGGGUGCACUGUUAGAGCAGCAUACAUCUGUGGUGUUGCUUGUCUCAGCCAAAAGUAUCAGAGAUUACUAAAGUAGCAGCAGCAAACUCUGUCACAACCCAAUGAGCGCUGAUGAGUGCAUCUGAAGUUCAGAGAGUGAGAAGUAUGCAGGAUGCAGAGCUCCCUGGAACCAAGACAGGCACCAAGGGGACAUCUUGCCACUUCCCACUUCUCGGAUGAGAUGGUCAAAGGAGGAAAGCACAGCUGCUUUGCCACCUCCUCUCCAGCCUCAGCUGCUCUACUGAGAGCCACUGCAAUGGCAUCGCAGCGUCCUUUGCAGCUGAAACAAAAAAAGAAAGAAGUUUAUUUUGCCUUCUUCCACAAUUCCCUGCCCCUUACCACAACUGGAAGAUGAGCCACUCGCUCCUGCUGAAUAACAGGGAUUAUUUAAGCCUUCUCAGCCAGCACCAUGUUCUCCUGUAAUGCCCAUCACAAUACAGCCCUCACUGACCUAGCUAUGAUGCAAUCACGCUGGAAGGUGCC